CAUCACUAAACAUUGAAUCUACAUAUAACUAACAAGAAUAAUGAAUACGAUAAACAUUAAAACUAAUUUAAAAAAAUGUAGUAGCCAAGUCGAGAGAAUGGUCAUUUGACACUAUCAUUGGCCCAUUAAUUAAAGACCCUUACAUAUUAAUUCAAGACCUGAAAAUAAGCAAAAAGGGUGCUUAUAAGUGGAAUAUCAAGAAAAUGAUCAGAGGUGGCAGCCGCAGCACAGGAAGAAGAAACAGAGAGUUGCAACCAAAAUUAUAGCUUCAAAAAUGGAUACAAUCUUGAAAAGAAUAUCAUCCACGAACCAAAGAUGCAAGCUGAACCGCCUCUUCCACCGCAACCCGGUGGAGCUCUUGAACUUCCACCUGCUUGCACCACUACUAUUGCCAACGUCUCCGCCUUCUCCCUUGCUGGCUGUCUUGUUUAGCCUCUUGAAGAAGAACAAAAAUUUAGAAGGCUUCUUCAUCAUAUCUUUCUGUCACUAGUGUAUAAAAAAGGUAUCGAAUUUCAGAAAACUUGAGAUGGGUUUUAAGGAAUUGGGAUCGACUGGUUUUAUGUUAUUCGAGGUUUCUUGGGAUUUAAGGUUGGACAGGAGGGUAGAGGAAUAUGAUAGACUGUGUGGGUGUACAUAUUUAAGGAUGAAUUCAACCGUUACGCGUAUUCGUGGGUCAAAAGUGGGUGACGUGCGAACUGAGUGGGUUGUGGGCCUGUUAACA
rnacentral:lncRNA from 1 species